rnacentral:rRNA from 1 species
UAUGUGAUCGUCUCUCGCAUAUCAAUAAGCGGAGGAAAAGAAACUAACAAGGAUUCCCCUAGUAACGGCGAGUGAAGCGGGAAGAGCUCAAAUUUGAAAUCUUAAAGGGUUUCCCUUUACGAAUUGUAGUUUAAAGAAGUGUUUUCUGUUGAGGUUUUGGUAAAAGUUCUUUGGAAUAGGACAUCAUAGAGGGUGAGAAUCCCGUAUUUGACCUUCACUUUCAACUUUGUGAUACACUUUCAAAGAGUCGGAUUGUUUGGGAAUGCAGUCCAAAAUGGGUGGUAAAUUUCAUCUAAAGCUAAAUAUUGGCGAGAGACCGAUAGCGAACAAGUACCGUGAGGGAAAGAUGAAAAGAACUUUGAAAAGAGAGUUAAACAGUACGUGAAAUUGUCAAAAGGGAAGCGUUUGACACCAGUGUUGUUUUUCUGAAAAUCAAUUAAAGAACUGUUUAUGCUAAGUUGUUUAGACUUUAUCAGCUAACUGUUUAGUUUUGAGCUUUUCUUUAAUGCACUUUUCAGUUAACAAGUCAACAUCAAUUUCUUUUGCUGUAAAAAAGCUUGAGGAAGGUGGCUUGAGAUUCGUCUUAAGUGUUUAUAGCCUCUUGCCUAUGCAGUCGGAGAGAUUGAGGUCUGCAGCGUAGAUCCUUCGGGGCUAAAUGCAUUUGUGCUAAGUUAUAGCAUUUUAUAGACAACUUGUUGACUAUGAUUUGUCUUGUAGCUUACUCGCUUAUGUUAUUUUACCUACGCUUAGGAUGUUGAGUAGCGACAUACGCAC